rnacentral:rRNA from 1 species
GAAAACUCCGGUGGUGCGGGAUGGGCCCGCGUCUGAUUAGCUGGUUGGCGGGGCAACGGCCCACCAAGGCGACGAUCAGUAGCCGGCCUGAGAGGGUGGACGGCCACAUUGGGACUGAGACACGGCCCAGACUCCUACGGGAGGCAGCAGUGGGGGAUAUUGCACAAUGGGGGGAACCCUGAUGCAGCGACGCCGCGUGAGCGAAGAAGUACCUCGGUAUGUAAAGCUCUAUCAGCAGGGAAGAAAAUGACGGUACCUGACUAAGAAGCCCCGGCUAAAUACGUGCCAGCAGCCGCGGUAAUACGUAUGGGGCAAGCGUUAUCCGGAUUUACUGGGUGUAAAGGGAGCGCAGGCGGCCUGCCAAGUCUGGUGUGAAAACCCGGGGCCCAACCCCGGGCCUGCAUUGGAAACUGGCGGGCUGGAGUGUCGGAGGGGCAGGCGGAAUUCCUAGUGUAGCGGUGAAAUGCGUAGAUAUUAGGAGGAACACCGGUGGCGAAGGCGGCCUGCUGGACGAUGACUGACGCUGAGGCUCGAAAGCGUGGGGAGAAAACAGGAUUAGAUACCCUGGUAGUCCACGCCGU